rnacentral:rRNA from 1 species
GAUGAACGCUGGCGGCGUGCCUAAUACAUGCAAGUCGAGCGAACAGACGAGGAGCUUGCUCCUCUGACGUUAGCGGCGGACGGGUGAGUAACACGUGGAUAACCUACCUAUAAGACUGGGAUAACUUCGGGAAACCGGAGCUAAUACCGGAUAAUAUAUUGAACCGCAUGGUUCAAUAGUGAAAGACGGUUUUGCUGUCACUUAUAGAUGGAUCCGCGCCGCAUUAGCUAGUUGGUAAGGUAACGGCUUACCAAGGCAACGAUGCGUAGCCGACCUGAGAGGGGGGUGGGCCACACGGGGAGGGGACACCGCUCAGGACCCAUGGGGGAGCCAGCAGUGGGGAAUCUGCGGAAGUGGGCGAAAGUUUGCCGGACCAAGGCCGCGUGAGUGAUGAAGGUUUUGGGUUCGUAAAACUCUGUUAUUGGUGAAGAACAAAUUUGUAAUUACCUAGUCACGUCUUGACGGUACCUAAUCAAAAGGCCACGGCUAACUCCGUG